AUACCCUAGUACACUUAAUUUUAAUUGUUUAAUACUAGGAUACUAAGAGAUAUGUUCUUGAAAUUUAAAAAAUUUGGCGGUAUUUUAGUCUAGUUAGAGGAACCUGUUUUAUAAACGACACUACACGCAUUAUCUUACUUUUUUUUGUAUUCAGUUUGUAUACCGUCAUUAUUAGAUAAUUUGAGAAAUAAUAUUAUUGGAAUCAUAGUUUGAGUAUAUUAGAUCAAGGUGCAGCUUAUAAAGAAGAAAAAAUGGGUUACAAUAAAAUUUAUUUAUAACGGAGUUAAAAUUUAAAAAUUUAAAUGAAGGAGGAUUUAAUUGUAAAAUUGGGAAUAAUAAAACUUUUUGGUAUAAGCUCUAAAUUAUGUACAUA
rnacentral:rRNA from 1 species